rnacentral:rRNA from 1 species
GCUUAUGCCUCAACAGAUGGCAGCACCAAGCCGACCCUAGCUGAGCUGGAAAAUCUAAAAAGGAUUGAACCUGGCUAUUAGUUGGAUGGGAGACCACCUGGAAAUCCUGGUGCCAUAAGCA